CCGAAAAAACCACCUUUAUAACUCGUACGAGAAUCAAGCUCUGCAAAAUGGCUCGAUCCGCAGUUUGUAGAGAACUCAAUUUUAAUACGAAUCAUUCUGCAAAUAUGGAAAAGGGAGUGUGCAAACGUAGUUUACCACUUCUACUCAAUGCCUACUGUUUUCCAUACAAAAUCAAGGAUGGUCCGCUAUUGAUAUCUCAACAUCCACUCUAUUAAGAUACUGUAUAAUUUGUAAUUUAUUAAUGCGAAUAUAUGUAUAUUUGAAAAUAAAAGAUUUAAUUUAGAAUCUUCUGUACGUUGGUGAGUUAUAAGUCAGUCUGUAUUGUAAGAGCUUUUUCUAGUUAAUUAUAGUUAGUAUUACAAAUUAUGAGAGAUGUGUUCAGAUCAGGGUGUUAUCAGCAGCAUAUAAUUAAUAUUUUUCAGGAUACUUAAAAUUUUUAAUCUAAAUU
rnacentral:sRNA from 2 species